rnacentral:rRNA from 1 species
CGGCAAAAGCUCAAAUUUGAAAUCUGGCCUUCUAUGGAGGUCCGAGUUGUAAUUUGCAGAGGGUGCUUUGGCGUCGGCAGCGGUCUAAGUUCCUUGGAACAGGACGUCACAGAGGGUGAGAAUCCCGUACGUGGUCGCCUGCCUUCGCCGUGUAAAGCCUCUUCGAC